UUUCAGCAUGUAACAUAUAAUCUUCUUUGUUCUUGCCAUUUUAGUUGAUUGGUGGCUUGCAUAUGGUGGUCGUACUAUUGAAUUAUAUAAGUUUGCAAGACGGAUUGUUAGUCUUUGUGCUUCAUCAUCCGGUUGUGAGCGAAAUUGGAGUACAUUUGAAUUUAUGCAUACCAAAAAGAGGAAUAGGUUAGAGCACAAAAGGUUGAAUGACUUGGUAUAUGUUUCAUACAACAGAAAGAUGGCUGAUAGGUUUCAAAAAAUACGCGAGAAA